UACAGAGGGGGCAAGCGUUGUUCGGAAUUACUGGGCGUAAAGGGCGCGUAGGCGGCCUGCUAAGUCGAACGUGAAAUCCCUGGGCUCAACCCAGGAACUGCGUCCGAUACUGGUUGGCUUGAAUCCGGGAGAGGGAUGCGGAAUUCCAGGUGUAGCGGUGAAAUGCGUAGAUAUCGGGAGGAACACCUGUGGCGAAAGCGGCUCACUGGACCAUUACUGACGCUGAGGCGCGAAAGCUAGGGGAGCAAACGGG
rnacentral:rRNA from 1 species